rnacentral:rRNA from 1 species
UGGGGAAUAUUGCACAAUGGGCGAAAGCCUGAUGCAGCAAUGCCGCGUGUGUGAAGAAGGCCUGCGGGUUGUAAAGCACUUUCAGUAGGGAGGAAAAGCGACUGGCUAACAUCUGGUCGUCUUGACGUAACCUACAGAAGAAGCACCGGCUAACUCCGUGCCAGCAGCCGCGGUAAUACGGAGGGUGCGAGCGUUAAUCGGAAUUACUGGGCGUAAAGCGCGCGUAGGUGGUUGGGUAAGUCGGAUGUGAAAGCCCCGGGCUUAACCUGGGAAUUGCAUUCGAUACUGCUCAACUUGAGUACAGGAGAGGGAAGGGGAAUUCCGGGUGUAGCGGUGAAAUGCGUAGAUAUCCGGAGGAACACCAGUGGCGAAGGCGCCUUCCUGGACUGAUACUGACACUGAGGUGCGAAAGCGUGGGGAGCAAACAGG